CUUUGCAUCGUCGAGAGUUUUCCACGGUCAAAGUCAAACGGUCUUCAGAGCCGUUACCCGCCCUUAGCUGGCGUCAAGCGGUCUUCAGAGCCGUUGCCCGGCCACCGCGCAUUCACACUCGUUAUAUAUAUCCCCCCGCACUCGCAUUCUCUUCUUCAGCACAUUCUCACACUAGUGUCCGAGUGCUCCAUCAACGGCCUCUUCUCCUUUGAGUGUUCGUUGCCGAAACCAAAAGCUAGGUCUACUAGGCAAUCGGAGGAAGAGAGAGCACAAGCGAAAGGAGUAGAGUGUUCGUUAUAUAUAUAUAUCCCCCCGCACUCGCAAUCUCUUCUUCAGCACACUCUCACACUAGUAUCCGAGUGCUCCAUCAACGGCCUCUUCCCUUUGGAGUGUUCGUUGCCGAAACCAAACGCUAGGUCUACCAGGCAAUCGGAGGAAGAGAGAGCACAAGCGAAAGGAGUAGAGAGAGCACAGGCGAAAGGAGUUUCUCACAUCGUCUCGGUGGUGAAAAAUAGAGAAGAGAGGAAGACGACGAACUCUGAUGUCAUUGAGAUUGGUGCCGAUAACGGAGAGGGGAAGAACGAAACAGUCGCUCUCGAUGAAGUGAUUGCUUGGGCAAAAGAAAAGCAGUUCGUCCUGUCACUGAGGCUGGACGGUACGAUUCAUGUAAAGUUUGUUGCAAACAGUUAGGGUGCAUGACAUAUCACCACACAAUACACAGAGGUAGAAGAAAGAAUUUGGUCAGCUGAACAGGAAAAGGCAGGGUCUAAGAAAGAAUUUGGUUUGCUGAAGAGGAAAAGGCAGAGUCUAAAAAAGAUGUAAGCUUCUGAUGUGGUUGCUUAAGAAGAUUUUGUGUCUUACAAGCUUGCUUCAUUAGAAAUUAUUAUAUGGUUGCAAGUCCCCUGACAAGAUGCAAUAAAACACAAAUUUUCAAAGUUGAUAUUUGGUGCUUAUUUAACCCGAGCACGAAAGCUAUCGAUUAGCCUACCAAAUUUGGAUCUUAUGGAAAUGGAGGGCAUAGAUAGAGAUAAUAAAGUUGAGGUCAUUGUACGAGGAAUCCAAUUCCGGUUGCUACUUUAAACACUCCAAUCACGUAAGAAAUUUUCUAUUUGACGUCAUGAACUACCAUAUAUGCGGCUUAGUUCUUACCGGAAUUACAUCUUUAGCAAUGUUGUGGUCCUGAUAAGGCUACUAAAACUGGAGGGCCAUAUGGAUCCAUCAAUGAUGAUUCUGGAACAGUUUUCAAGUAUGGUAUUACAUUAUUUGUUUUGAAUCAUUAACCUUCUACGUUUUUUAGUUCCGAAAUUAUUUUCAGCCAUCAUAGGGUACUGUUCAGCAUAAAUAGUAUAGUUCUAUAUAACUAGCGAUUCACUCUAACACGUUUCUUCUUAAAUCU